CUGAGUGUAAAAACUCCCAAACCCAUUGUGAACAUACCACUGUUGCUUCGGCGGAUCCGCCCCGGGCGCGCUCCUCACAGGGCGUGCCCCGGAACCAGGCGCCCGCCGGGGGACCUAAACUCUUGUUUUUUUCAGGCUUCUCUGAGUGUGAUUAGCAAAUCAAAUUA
rnacentral:misc_RNA from 1 species